AUUGAACGCUGGCGGCAUGCCUUACACAUGCAAGUCGAACGGCAGCACGGGAGCAAUCCUGGUGGCGAGUGGCGAACGGGUGAGUAAUAUAUCGGAACGUGCCCGGUCGUGGGGAUAACGUAGCGAAAGCUACGCUAAUACCGCAUACGAUCUACGGAUGAAAGGCGGGGGGAUCGCAAGACCUCGCGCGAUUGGAGCGGCCGAUAUCAGAUUAGGUAGUUGGUGAGGUAAAGGCUCACCAAGCCGACGAUCUGUAGCUGGUCUGAGAGGACGACCAGCCACACUGGGACUGAGACACGGCCCAGACUCCUACGGGAGGCAGCAGUGGGGAAUUUUGGACAAUGGGCGCAAGCCUGAUCCAGCAAUGCCCGCGUGCAGGAUGAAGGCC
rnacentral:rRNA from 1 species